UACGUAGGUGGCAAGCGUUAUCCGGAUUUACUGGGUGUAAAGGGCGCGUAGGCGGGCAUGCAAGUCAGAUGUGAAAUACCGAGGCUUAACCUUGGGGGGUCAUUUGAAACUGCAUGUCUUGAGUGAUGGAGAGGCAGGCGGAAUUCCUAGUGUAGCGGUGAAAUGCGCAGAUAUCAGGAGGAACACCGGUGGCGAAGGCGGGUCUCUGGGCCGAUACUGACGCUGAGGAGCGAAAGCGUGGGGAGCGAACAGG
rnacentral:rRNA from 1 species